UACGGGGGGGGCAAGCGUUGUUCGGAAUUACUGGGCGUAAAGGGCUCGUAGGCGGCCAACUAAGUCAGACGUGAAAUCCCUCGGCUUAACCGGGGAACUGCGUCUGAUACUGGAUGGCUAGAGUUUGGGAGAGGGAUGCGGAAUUCCAGGUGUAGCGGUGAAAUGCGUAGAUAUCUGGAGGAACACCGGUGGCGAAGGCGGCAUCCUGGACCAACACUGACGCUGAGGAGCGAAAGCCAGGGGAGCAAAUGGG
rnacentral:rRNA from 1 species